GAUGAACGCUGGCGGCGUGCUUAACACAUGCAAGUCGAACGGGAUCCAGGCAGCUUGCUGCCUGGUGAGAGUGGCGAACGGGUGAGUAAUGCGUGACCGACCUGCCCCAUACACCGGAAUAGCUCCUGGAAACGGGUGGUAAUGCCGGAUGCUCCGACUCCUCGCAUGGGGUGUCGGGAAAGAUUAUAUCGGUAUGGGAUGGGGUCGCGUCCUAUCAGGUAGUCGGCGGGGUAACGGCCCACCGAGCCUACGACGGGUAGCCGGCCUGAGAGGGCGACCGGCCACAUUGGGACUGAGAUACGGCCCAGACUCCUACGGGAGGCAGCAGUGGGGAAUAUUGCACAAUGGGCGCAAGCCUGAUGCAGCGACGCCGCGUGCGGGAUGACGGCCUUCGGGUUGUAAACCGCUUUUGAUCGGGAGCAAGCCUUCGGGUGAGUGUAC
rnacentral:rRNA from 1 species